CAUCCUGAGACUCAAGAAGACAAGAGAGAGACAGCAGAGAGAUUCCUUUCCAUGUUUCUAACAAAAGAGGCAUUGUAGCCGCACAUAAAGAGAGGAGGAAUCUCUCAUCAGUGUGUGUUUCUGUGUUUGUUUUUAUUACAUGGUGGGGACCUCAGCAUGAUAGCACACUCACAAAGUGGGGACCAAAAACAUAGUGGGGACCGAUCGCCCGGUCCCCACCAUGUUUUGCCUUUAAAAGACUCAGGGGGCGUUGCUGAUAUGCCUAGUGCAGUUUUUUUCACUGAUCCCCACCUUGACCAUUUACCUGAAUUGAGUGUGUAAGUGUGUGUCGGCGCACUGCUCUAUAGCGGUCCUGUAGUCGGAUGGCGGUACUGCACCCUGACACACACUUACACACUCUGGCUACUGCACAUGCGCAGAUCUCAUAAAUGAAUCCGACUUUAAUCAACUUAAUUAAGAUCUAUCAUCAAAUUAAUCGAAUUUUCGGUCAGAGGCCGGGGUGGAGUGCAUGAGCCGCGGUCAGACAGUCACCAAUCACCGUGCGGCUAAAUGGAUCGACGGAGGAUAAAACCAUUAAAAGAUGCGGAGAAACACAUCACCAGCUCCACCGACAAGACCCAUUCACUGGAAACCGAAUAUAUAGAAGGUUACUAAGUUUUGCAGCAUUGAUGCCGAUCAUGAGGACGAUCUGCACCCUAACUGCACUGUCAAUAAGAUCGUUGUUCAGAGAAAACCUCAUUUGUGCCUUUUUGCAAUCAGGGAUAUUUUCUUUGGAGAGGAAAUAACGUUUGACUAUGGCGCAUGUGAUUGGCCUUGGAGAAAGCUUUCAUUGAAGGAUGCCCAUAUGACUGCAGAAGAGAACUGCUUCGACAACUCUCUGAUGAGCUUUUAUUGAAGUAUGACCAAAUGACGAGAAGAAGAGAACUGCUCUGCUCCAGUAGGAAACCCACAACCCUCUGAUGAGCUUUUAUUGAAGGAUGACCUUAUGACAGAG